UGACACCUUUAUUCUACCUUCACGUGGUGGUGUUGUAAGUAGACAGAUAUCGAAACCAAAGAAUA
rnacentral:ribozyme from 1 species